GACGAACGCUGGCGGCGUGCUUAACACAUGCAAGUCGAACGGAAAGGCCCUGCUUUUGUGGGGUGCUCGAGUGGCGAACGGGUGAGUAACACGUGAGUAACCUGCCCUUGACUUUGGGAUAACUUCAGGAAACUGGGGCUAAUACCGGAUAGGAGCUCCUGCUGCAUGGAGGGGGUUGGAAAGUUUCGGCGGUUGGGGAUGGACUCGCGGCUUAUCAGCUUGUUGGUGGGGUAGUGGCUUACCAAGGCUUUGACGGGUAGCCGGCCUGAGAGGGUGACCGGCCACAUUGGGACUGCGGUACGGCCCAGACUCCUACGGGAGGCAGCAGUGGGGAAUAUUGCACAAUGGGCGGAAGCCUGAUGCAGCAACGCCGCGUGCGGGAUGACGGCCUUCGGGUUGUAAACCGCUUUCGCCUGUGACGAAGCGUGAGUGACGGUAAUGGGUAAAGAAGCACCGGCUAACUACGUG
rnacentral:rRNA from 1 species